UACGUAGGGUGCAAGCGUUAAUCGGAAUUACUGGGCGUAAAGCGUGCGCAGGCGGUUAUAUAAGACAGUUGUGAAAUCCCCGGGCUCAACCUGGGAACUGCAUCUGUGACUGUAUAGCUAGAGUACGGUAGAGGGGGAUGGAAUUCCGCGUGUAGCAGUGAAAUGCGUAGAUAUGCGGAGGAACACCGAUGGCGAAGGCAAUCCACUGGACCUGUACUGACGCUCAUGCACGAAAGCGUGGGGAGCAAACAGG
rnacentral:rRNA from 1 species